AGAGUUUGAUCAUGGCUCAGAACGAACGCUGGCGGCAGGCCUAACACAUGCAAGUCGAGCGAGAAGGUACCUUCGGGUACUGGACAGCGGCGGACGGGUGAGUAACGCGUGGGAAUAUACCUUUCGGUGGGGGACAACAGUUGGAAACGACUGCUAAUACCGCAUACGCCCUUUGGGGGAAAGAUUUAUCGCCGAGAGAUUAGCCCGCGUUAGAUUAGGUAGUUGGUGAGGUAACGGCUCACCAAGCCGACGAUCUAUAGCUGGUCUGAGAGGAUGAUCAGCCACACUGGGACUGAGACACGGCCCAGACUCCUACGGGAGGCAGCAGUGGGGAAUAUUGCGCAAUGGAGGAAACUCUGACGCAGCCAUGCCGCGUGAGUGAAGAAGGCCUUAGGGUUGUAAAGCUCUUUCAACUGUGAGGAUGAUGACAGUAGCAGUAGAAGAAGCUCCGGCUAACUUCGUGCCAGCAGCCGCGGUAAUACGAAGGGAGCAAGCGUUGUUCGGAAUUACUGGGCGUAAAGGGCGUGUA
rnacentral:rRNA from 1 species